rnacentral:lncRNA from 1 species
CUCACCAUUUAAGAGAAAGAAGGAAAGGUAAAGAGAGAAAGAGAGAGAAAGGGAUUUGUUCUCUGCCUUAUUCAUACAUUAGCUCUCUGCAAAGGCACAAAGCAGAAGGAGCAGCAUCAGCAACCUUGCAAGCAGUGACUCUGUUUCCAAUUAAUAUGAUCUGAGCUACUUUGAGAAGCCAAUUUAUUACUUACACAUAUCACACUUGAGCUCUGCUGAAAACUGGAUGUGCCAAGCACACCUUUGCUUCUGAUUUAUACAUAAAGACUUGCAUCUUUCACAGAACAAACCUUAUCAGGAGAGACUCAACCAAGGCAGACUUUUUCAGGGAUUAAGUGGAGAAAAAGGAAGUGAAGGAAAAGAAGAUAAGAAUUAUAUUAGUGGAUAUUGCUGGACUCACAAUGCUGGCAGAAAUGGAUGAAGAAGCAGGAUAAGAUUUAUCAUCGGAAAACAGUGGAAGACCCAGACUGGGACUCGUG